rnacentral:lncRNA from 1 species
AAAGAGGACUCACGUUUUUGUUCUGUUUCUGAGUGCCUACUAUAAGCCAGCACUGUUACAAACAUGGCGCUCAUUAUUCUCAUUUAUAGAUGUGAAAAACUAGGCCCAGAGAGGUUAAGAAACACAGCGAGUUCACACAGCUGAGCCAGCGUUGAAACCAUGGUUACCUCCCUCGGAAAAUUGACGCUUUCUUUUUCACAAAUCCACAACAGGUGGAGGUGGGGACGGCAGGAAAUGAGGGAUAAAUGGGGCGCCAAUACUCAGAUCUUGCCUGUCAGCUGGCAGGAGGAGUUUCGGAAACCCUUUCGGGGCUGCCCUAAACGAGUUGUUAUCUCUCCACUCUCUGCCUUCUUCGGGCACAAUUCAGGUUACGUGAUGGAAGAUACAGAUGGAGUUUUGCUUUUUAAAGUCCCAGGGAGAGCUGCGAUCACAGAGGGUUUCUCUGGUUCAGAUCCUGGGCGCGGACAUGGCACCACUCAUCAGGCCAUGCUGAGAUGGCAUCCUGCAUGCAAUGACUGGAAGGACCCACAACUAAGGAAGACUAGCACUGAGCUAACAUCUGUACCCAUCUUCCUCCAUCCUGGAUGUGGGUGGCUGCCAUGGCACAGCUGACAAGUGGUGUAGGUUCCACCAAAAUCCAUCUCCUGUGCCACCGGGGAGAGUGGGACACACUCUAGAGAGCCAGUUAAGAAGGAGGCUUAGUUCCACCUUUGCCAUCUCCUGGCUGUGUGACCUGGGGCCAGUGAGCACCUUGUCUUUCUCUUCACCUCAUCAAGUUGCUGACAUACAGCCUGUCAAAGGCACCCAGUCCUGGAAUUGCCCUCUGGAACUUUCUGGCCAAAUAGUCUUCCAGUCCUUGCUGGGCAGGGAAAUAGUCCUGUGCGGUGGCUGAACGAGCUCAGGACACUCCUGCACUUGUCCCAAAUCGGGCUCCUUACAGCAAGUCCUCUGCUCCUGGUUCUUGUCUUCAGAACUCAUCCAUCCUUUACAUCCUUUCAUGCCGUGGUGAUAGCU